GAUUUCAACUGAAAAAGUCAUCAACAUCAAAGUUGUAUAACUCAUCAACAUCUAUAACUUUUAUUUGCGUCAUUUCUUCAUCCGACAAAGCGAUUUGUAACAUUGUUCACAAAAUGUACAUAUCUCUUACAUAGUUUAUAAACUAUAAGAGAUAUAUGUAAAUUUUGUGAACAAUGUUACUAUUACUUUGUCGGAUGAAAAAAAAUGACCAAAAUAAAAGUUAUAGAUAUUGAUGAGUUAUACAACUUUGUUAUUGAUGACAUUUUCAGUUGAAAUC
rnacentral:pre_miRNA from 1 species